AUUGAACGCUGGCGGCAUGCCUUACACAUGCAAGUCGAACGGUAACGCGGGGCAACCUGGCGACGAGUGGCGAACGGGUGAGUAAUGCAUCGGAACGUGCCCAGUAGUGGGGGAUAACUGCUCGAAAGAGCAGCUAAUACCGCAUACGACCUGAGGGUGAAAGCGGGGGAUCGCAAGACCUCGCGCUAUUGGAGCGGCCGAUGUGAGAUUUGGUAGUUGGUGGGGUAAAGGCCCACCAAGCCAACGAUCUGUAGCUGGUCUGAGAGGACGACCAGCCACACUGGGAAUGAGACACGGCCCAGACUCCUACGGGAGGCAGCAGUGGGGAAUUUUGGACAAUGGACGCAAGUCUGAUCCAGCCAUGCCGCGUGCGGGAAGAAUGCCUUCGGGUUGUAAACCGCUUUUGUCAGGGAAGAAACGCUCUGGGUUAAUACCUCGGGGUAAUGACGGUACCUGAAGAAUAAGCACCGGCUAACUACGUGCCAGCCGCCGCCGUAACAC
rnacentral:rRNA from 1 species